CGCGUAGGCGGGCGGCAAAGUCCGGGGUGAAAUCUUUCGGCUCAACCGGAAAAUAGCCUUGGAUACUGGUCGUCUGGAGGGUGGUAGGGGCAGGUGGAACUUCCGGUGGAGCGGUGAAAUGCGUUGAUAUCGGAAGGAACGCCGGUGGCGAAAGCGACCUGCUGGACCACUGCUGACGCUGAGGCGCGAAAGCCAGGGGAGCAAACGGGAUUAGAUACCCCGGUAGUCCUGGCCCUAAACGAUGGGUACUAGGUUGUGGACUGGACAUGGGUUCACAGCCGAAGCAAAAGUGUUAAGUACCCCGCCUGGGGAGUAGUGGUCGCAAGGCUGAA
rnacentral:rRNA from 1 species